AGUCAGACAGACAGACAGACAGACAGACAGACACUGUUCUUUGUACAUGCAGUCCGACGGAGCUAGCUGUGAUCAUAGAAGAAGAAAUGAAAAAUGACCUGAGUCCUCCUGCCACUGGUUGCAGCAUUCAAUACGCUCGUGAGCAAGGCCAGAAGCCGUCAUAUUCGUCGCCUGAAGAAUCUAAAAGCACACCAUGAAGUGUGUGAGAGACGCUAUAAGAAAGCGCACACAGAGAGGUUAAAAGUCAAUAAGGACAGCAACUUGUUUGAACACAACAACCAGAACACGAUGAUGCCCAUCCCCAGAAAAUCCUUCUUCAAAAAGCAUCCUCCAAGACCCCACAUCUCCUUCAGGCUAUAGCACCACUACAUUAUGGUC